ACGGAUGGACGUUCUUAGCUUGGAGUCCACUUGCCCCUGGAAUCGGGCACGAAAGACAAGACUUUCUUGAGCACAAGGUCCCUCGGGACACACGAGGCUUGACCUUCUUAUCAAAUGCUUUUUCACUCUCUGCUGAUAUGACUGACCGUGACACAUGGCAGUUGAUCUCUUCUUUUCGAUCGAAUUCAGCAUCAGUCAACUUGGGACUUUGAGGGUGCUAUUUCUCUUUUGUUUUCUUUCUUUCUUUUUCUUUCUUUUGAUUUCUUUCGAUUUUGCACCCUCUCUUCCUUUGUUUUUUUUUUAUUGAUUUUUUUUCUUUCUCUUUUUUUUUUUGAUGCCCCAGUUGGCUGUUCUGCUGAUUCUCGAGAUGCAGCUGAGUGUGAUCUUC
rnacentral:lncRNA from 1 species